AAAUUUUUGUGCUAUUUUUUUUUUCUUUCCGGCUUUUGACAAAGUCAAUGUUGGGUUUGAAAGCCAUUUGAACAAAUUUCUGCUAGCUAGGGUUUACUCUCUCACCACUUCUCCUUUGCCAUUUCUCUGUUGAAAAGAAGCACCGUCACACCUCAGGUACGCCAUUUUUAUGUUUUGAUUUUUGUUUUUGUUUUUUCCCAAUUUUUCUACAUAUUUGGUACUUGUUUUUGCCUAGAUUUCUACUUGUUUAUGUUUCUAGAUUUGUAUUUGUUGUUUUCUCAGUUUCUACUUAUGGCUAUGGUUAACUUCUCAUGAUUCUCUGUGAAAGAAAUUUCUGACAAAGAAAAUAUUGGGCAUGUUGAUUGUUAGUAUUUCCAUUUUUUCCCUGGUUUUUAUUGUUUUGCAACUGUGGAAAAUAGAGUUUGAGACAUCCAUGUCAUAUCAGAAUGAUGGAAUGAGUAUGUUGUGUGCUAUGUACUGCUAUUUAGUACUCAAUAGGUAGUUCACUGCAUCAAACCUAAUAAGUCACUGCUAUGGAAUGAGACUUUUGGCUGGUUUUGCUAUAGUGGUUGGAGUCAAAUACUUGAGUUGUGCAAAAGUCUACUUAUAACAAUGUAAAGCAAUAAAGUAGCAUGAGUGCAUUAUUCUGUACAGUCCUCAAUAUACCCUUUCCAGAAGUCUUUAUCCUCAAAUUAGUUUUCCCCUACAGAAAAAGAUUUUUUCACUCCUUACACUUGCUUAUGAAGUUACUUUGUGCCAUAGACUGAUCUUCUGUCAAGAUAUUUCCAAUAGCUUUGCAACAGUUAACAGAGGAAGAUGAAAGAUUGUGCCAUAUCCACAAUCAUUCUUAUUUUGACAUUUUGCUUUCAUCAGUAAUAUCACUAAUAUGAAAGAAAAAGCUUUCAAAUUAAGAAAUAAAUAUGACCAUAUGCAUUAAGUUUUUUACUCAAUAAACCAUAAAGAAAUGUCUGACACAGACAUUGGGGUUAAUUAAAAAGGGGAAGAAGAGAUUAAAAACAUGAAUUGUUUAAAAACAUGAGAGUGAUUAAAUGAAAGAAAAGUGAUUACUAAUUCAUCUUCUUCAAAGCCAGCUCAUAUUGCAGUGUCUCUUAGAAUACUGUUCCAUUCAAUGCCUAAGCGCAGACUAUCCAUGGCUAACUUAGAUUUUCUUUCUUUUUAAAUUUUCCUCUUGGAGUUCCUCUUUCUCUAUUUAUCCACAAUCAAAUAAUGAGAAAGAGGUGUUAAAAAGCUGAAAAUGUCAACACAAAUGUAGUCUGGAGCAAUACUUUAGAUUUUCUGAAAAUGUCAAUGCUAAAGAUUUUGUUUAAAAUGGAUAAAUAACUCUAUCUUUCCAGUUUCCACAUAGGUGUUGUUGAAAUUUGAGGGCAAGCAUAUCUCUUCUCCAGAAUCUGCUGAGAUUAGGAAAUAAAAUCAUGGCUGUUCAGCCAUUUGUAUCUGUUAAAGUGUGCCCAAGAAAAAAAAUUAUAUUAUUUUGUUUUUUUUGUUUUCCCUUAUGCUGCUGUCUCUGCUUAUUGUGUGUGAAGUCCAAUCUGUUAGCAUUUAACAUCAAUUCACAUGCUGCUGUCUCUGCUUGAUUUUAAGCAUUAUUUCUAAACAAAUUUGAAGGCCUUGUUUUAUUUUUAAGUGAGUGAAGACUGAAGCGUGGUGACCUUUCUUUACAACAAAAAAUGUCACAGCGUAAUGCAAGAGAGUAAAAGGUUGAUGUCCCAACCACCAGCAAUUGCUAAUUCCGAAUAAAGCUCACCACCAAAUGAUGUCCCAAACUCCAGCCCACCACCAAGUCUAGUCCCACACUCUAGCCCACCACCAAGUUAUGUGCGUCGAGAGCUGCAGGAUAGUGAUUCUGAGCGUAAUAUCUUGGCAUCACCAAAUAAUGUUCCAACACCUCCAAGUUCUAAUUCAGAUCCAAAAGACAACAGGAUCACAAUACACCCCAUUGGCACGACAUCGUUUGAUCCAUGUAGUGCGCAUAGGGGAAUUGUGCCUUGCCUUACUCGGACAUUCCCCAAGGCUGUAAGAACAUACAAUGAUGCUCCUAGACAUGUGAAGGAUGUUUGGUUUAAUGAAUUUAGGAAAAGCUAUAAGUGGAAUUCGAAAGAUGAGGGAGCUAUUUGGAUUUUGGAAUAUAUUUGAGAAAAGAGCUGCCAGAAGACUGAUCGACACGUUGCGACAGGUGCACAUAAAGUUGGCAGCGGGUGACCCAUGGCCUCCAUGGAUGUCUGAUCUUUUGGCUCAAUACCGCUUCAUUUGGGAUAAGGAGGACUUCAAAAAGACUUCUGAGAAGAUUAAAAAAAAAUAGAAAUUUAGAUUGCCGGGGAAUGGGACCGUCGCUGCACUGUGCAAGUUCAAUCCCAAUGACUAAGCAUAGGCGAAGAUUGAAAGAAAAGCUCGGAGAGGAGUCCUCGCAUGCAGUGUUGUUCCAAGCCACACAAACAAAAAAAGAUCAAUGAGUUUGUGUGCAAAAAAGCUCAACAAGUCACAGUAAGUUGCAAAAAGCUCAACAAAAUCAUUGUGUGAAAUACAUUUUUCCUGCGGUUUUGCCUAGAUUUGGUUUAAUAUGCAUUCCACUUGCAAUAAAUGUUCAUAUAAUCUGUGAAUUGAAUGUCAAUGAAACCCCAACAAUUUGUAACAAUUGAAACUGUUAUUGUAACAA